rnacentral:lncRNA from 1 species
AUGAUUAUUUUAAAAUGGGUAAAAAUAUAUAAAAUUUAGCUGAAUCAUAGAUCACCUUGAGUUAGAGUGUUAGAGUAUCUAUAUUUUUUAAAAAAUUUUAGUAUCCAAUAUUUUAAUUAUUUUAAUUUAUUUGAUUUGAGUCGCCAGAUUAUAUCUUGGCUUUAAAAUUUAAACUAAUUUCUUCAAUAAAUGCAUGAUCAAUAUUUUAUAAAAUAUACCAACUAAACUUACAAAGAUAAAUGAUACAUUCAAAUUUUAAAGUUUUUGAGUCAGUCAAUAGUAUUUUGGCUUUAAAGUUUAAGCUAAUUACUUUAAUAAAUUUAUAAUUACAACGUUAUAUGAAAUAUACCAAUUAAAUCUAUAAAUAUAAACGACAAAUUAAAAUUUUAAAGUUAAAAUAUUAUUAACCGACUCAAAUCAAAUAAAUUGAAAGGAUAGCUAGUAAAAUUAAAAUCUUAGAAAAUUGGAUAAUCGAAUCAAAAUAGUGCAUAGUUCAGAAUAUAACAUCGAAAAGCCCAUUUACAAAAAAUCAAAAAAUCUAGACAUUUGUGGUCUUAAAAUGCAACAAUAAUAGAAGCAAAGAUUACUAGUUCAACUUACAAGAAAAUGUUGUUUAAAAUUUAUAGUAUUUAAUAUGUGGGUGGUUUAGGUGCAUCAUAAAAUAGAUAUAAGAGUGUACUAGAUUCCAAAUUUCAGGGCCUUAUUAUUAUAUUAAUGGUAAACUUUAAAUAUCACCUCCAUAAUUUUGCAUUUUCUCACUUUAGUAUCAUGUGGUUUAAAAUGUAUCAAGUUAGUGUCUUAUGAUUUUAUUUUUUUCUUUUUGUCCGCUCCUCCGUUAAUAUUUCGUUAAAUUAUAUAUAAAAAACUUCAAAUAUCCCCCUAGGUUUAUCGAUAAUUAAUUUAAUACUCUUUAGUUUUAACUUUGUCACUAAUUUAAUGAAAAAAAAUUAGUGAAAUGGAUAAUAAAAAGAAAAAAAUAAAAUCACAGGACACUAUCGUAAUACACUUUAAACCAAAUGAUACUAAAGUAAAAAAAUGCGAAACCACAAGGAUGAUAUUUGAAGUUUUUCCAUCAUUAAAUUUCUCAUAAUAUGACCGACCGCCUUUAGAGCAAAUGGUAAAAGGUUUGGUGGUUGGUAUCCGAUAUUCUAAGUUCGGAUCUUAAUUGGUUCAUAUUUUCAGUUAAGUUUAUUUUUAAAUAAAAUAAAUGAAGUGGUUAGCAUGUUGCCUAUCUCUCUAAAAAAAAAAAAAAAAAAAAAUCUCACA